rnacentral:rRNA from 1 species
AGCUUGCUUUUUAAGCUUAGUGGCGAACGGGUGAGUAACGCGUGAGUAACCUGCCCUAGAGUGGGGGACAACAGUUGGAAACGACUGCUAAUACCGCAUAAGCCCACGGUGCCGCAUGACACUGAGGGAAAAGGAUUUAUUCGCUUUAGGAUGGACUCGCGUCCAAUUAGCUAGUUGGUGAGGUAACGGCCCACCAAGGCGACGAUUGGUAGCCGGACUGAGAGGUUGAACGGCCACAUUGGGACUGAGACACGGCCCAGACUCCUACGGGAGGCAGCAGUGGGGGAUAUUGCACAAUGGGGGAAACCCUGAUGCAGCGACGCCGCGUGGAGGAAGAAGGUUUUCGGAUUGUAAACUCCUGUCGUUAGGGACGAUAAUGACGGUACCUAACAAGAAAGCACCGGCUAACUACGUGCCAGCAGCCGCGGUAAAACGUAGGGUGCAAGCGUUGUCCGGAAUUACUGGGUGUAAAGGGAGCGCAGGCGGGAAGACAAGUUGGAAGUGAAAACCAUGGGCUCAACCCAUGAAUUGCUUUCAAAACUGUUUUUCUUGAGUAGUGCAGAGGUAGAUGGAAUUCCCGGUGUAGCGGUGGAAUGCGUAGAUAUCGGGAGGAACACCAGUG